GCCGGGGUAGCCUAGCCUGGCUAGGGCGCCAGACUCAUAAUCUGGAGACGCCCAUGUCCAGAAGUCGCGGGCUCGAAUCCCGCUCCCGGCACCA
rnacentral:tRNA from 2 species